AGGUAGUGCGCUAACCGCAAGGAGGCAGCUAACCACGGUAGGGUCAGCGACUGGGGUGAAGUCGUAACAAGGUAGCCGUAGGGGAACCUGCGGCUGGAUCACCUCCUUUCUAAGG
rnacentral:rRNA from 1 species